UACAUGACAUAUCUAUUUGAAAAGCUAUGAAGAAUAUUUUAAAAAGGAAUAUUUAUACAUAUUAAUAUAUACAAGCAUAUGUCAAGGUUAUAUUUUCAAGGACAGCAUGGCUUAACUUAUUGCCCUCAAGCAGAAAACAGUCAACAGUGAAAUUAGAGAUGAAAAUUGAAGUAUGUGAUUAUAAAUAUUUUAUUUUAGAAAAAUCUGUGCACGACAUGAAUCGGCACCAACUAAUACUAGCGAGUUGGUGCUAUCGAUCAAUAGAAA